rnacentral:rRNA from 1 species
AAAGACUUUAAGUGCUAACUCAUUAAAUAAAGUGUGCUUAGCAACAACAAGUUAAGCACCUAUGCAUUGAAGACUUGAGUUGCUAAGGUAUUUAAUGCACUUAGCACCUCAUCUAAGCACCUCUGCAUUGGGAGAGGUCUAAGUACUCUCACACCCGGCACACACGCGCUUACAGCUGUCACCCACGCACCCACUACACUUGGCUGGCCAACUUGCCGUCACGCGGUAGUGCCUGCACUGCCGUGGUGACAGUGCCAGAUCCGGCCCGGGAGCCGCCGUAGAGCCUCCAUCUAGCACAGGAGCAGCAGCAUCCACCGGCCACACAGCUCGCCUCGCCGCACCGCAAAACAUCGAGGGCAGGGGCACCUAGCAGAGGAGCGCGCGGCAAGCUCGUCACCAUCAAAGCCCCGGCCCCUUUCUCGCCGGGCCAUGGCGGCGGCGGUCGACGGCACCCGCAAGCACGGGGCGGCGGCCUUCCUGGACGACCCCUUUGAGGUGCUGCAGGCGAAGCGGGGCCGGUGCUCGCCGUCCGCCGCCACGGCCGCGGUCGCCGACCUCGGCAUCAACAUGGAGUUCGACCCCGUCGAGGCGCUCCAGUCCGUAUUCCCCGGCGCCGAUCCGCAGAUGUACCCGGAGGUGAAGGGGAAAUUUGCGGCAGCCAAAAAAUAUUUAAUAAGUUAUUACUGAUUUGGUCUGGAAUGAAGAGAACAACGGGGAAGGAGUAAUUGGUAUAUUGGGGUUUCAGAGUGUAUUGCUAAAGCUAUUCUGGUGGGGAAACUGACCGGAAUUAGUGAAAAGUUUUGUCAGGGAUAAUACGACUGACCCAACUGGUACCGGUGCCAUGCUUUUGGGGUCGACCAAAACAUUUAAAAAUGUUAAAUGUGGUUAUGUGAUAAAAUCAAGUAUGAAUGAGGAAGAGAUCAACACCAGCCGCGGCAACAAAGAUGACAGCGUGUCUCAGUGGGCAUGAGCAAUGGCACACUCGUGUCGAGUACCUACCAAGAUGCUUCCCUGGUCAGACUUCGAGCACUUCCUCCUUGCCGACGCCGCCUUGGCUAUUGUUGUUGUCUCCUCGGAUAAGCCGUAUUAGGUUGGUUCCAUUGCACUGCAAAUACUACCACUUCUAUUGGGCAACUAAAUACAACUUGCAAGCACGGGAAAACAUGUACACCAGUGUUGUCGGGCGCGCGGAAGCCAAUUCCUUGGGUCACCCAUUGUUCAUCUGCUGCUCUAACCAGUAAUCAUGCCUUGCUCCCAGUAAAUUUGAGCUCGCAGCCAUUUAGGUAGCUUCUUGUCAUGCUCACAUCUAGCAGCAAGAAAAAUGAGAAGCUGCUGACCAGAGUGUAAUGUCUUAGUGGUAGGGAGACCACCAAGAUAUGAUGCUCUAAUGCAAAAUAUUAUAGGAAUAUCUACUUACUUUAACCACUUUUCAUAUUUGGUAUUUAAUCCAUCUACAUGUACAAACACGAAAUGCAGAUAUUGUUUUGUUGUGGAGAAAUUUUAUGAUGUGCCCAAUUAUGGACCGUACAUUGAUAAUGAUCUAAUGGUUAGGAUGAUGCAUCAUUUGAUAAUUCAAGAAAAGGUCAUGUCUUUACAGAAAUGUUCAAUUCCCCCUCAGUUUGAACUUGUAAGGUGUACUAAUUUUUUAAGAAUUCAAACUUACCUAAUUUUGACCAAGUUUAUAGAAUAAAACAUAAAUAUCUACUAUAGAGAAACAAUAUCAUUAGAUUCAUGAUGAAGUAUAUUUCCAUAUUUGAUUUAUUUAGGGGCUGUUCGAAAAGCCUCCACGCCCUCGCCACGGAGCGGAGGCCAAUCCGCUCCGGAGCGGAGCUGCGGAGUGGGAGUGAGUCCGAACAAGCCUUUAGUAUUGUACUCCCUCCGUUAGGAAUUACUCGUCCAAGAAAUGAAUGUGUCUAGAUGUAUUUUAGUUGUAGAUACAUCCAUUUUUAUGACAAGUAAUUCUGAACGGAGGGAGUAGGUGUUAGAUGUAUUUUGCUACAGAUUUGAUCAAACAUAGGAGACUUUGACUUUUGAAUAUUUAAUUCACCUUAUAUUUUGACAGACAUGGAGUAGUAAUUGCUGGGACCAGAUCCAUGCACCAUCAUCUGAAACCCAUGUAUUCAUGAGGUGUGAUGUUAAUUUUAACAAAUCUUCCCAUGGACAGAACCUCGAUACCAUGAUUCACAUACCAACCCACAUAGAAUUUGUGUAGACUGACAUAUACGCCGGGUUCAUCUUGUGGUAUGUCCCAGAACUUUUCUGAUAACAAUGCUCUUAGUUGGGAUGCCAUCAGGCUCCAAACCAAACCUGGGAGCACUUUACUUACCAAUAAAUUAAGAUAACUUUUGCAUAAGGUUUUGUCGUAGUUCGUUACCAAGAUGGGUAGUACUGUAUAGUUUCCUAGCAGCAACAUUUGGCCAGUUUCUUAGAUUUUAUCUGCAUGAAUAGUAGAUUUGCUCAUUUUGAUUUAUAACAUUGUAAAUGUUCACCUCAGCUGCCAGACUAACAUAAUGGAACAUCGUCAGGUGUAUUUGAAGGUUGCCAGUUCAGGUGGGCCAAACAGCCAGUGCGCUGAGGUCAAAAUAAGCAUGACACCGGUUUUAUUCUUUUAGGGGUCACCUACAUGGUGAAAGAUGCUCGGGCACACAUCAUUGUUGGGUUUUCCCAUGUCAUGUCAUACUUGGUCUGUAACUAAAUCUUGAGAAUUCAUUUGUAUGACUUGAUGUACAAACGUGUUAUUCAUAAUGAAAAUAAUAUCAUUGUAUGUGCUUAAAA